UAGGGAAUCUUCGGCAAUGGGGGCAACCCUGACCGACCAACGCCGCGGGAGUGAAGAAGGUUUUCGGAUCGUAAAGCUCUGUUGUAAGAGAAGAACGUGUGUGAGAGUGGAAAGUUCACACAGUGACGGUAACUUACCAGAAAGGGACGGCUAACUACGUGCCAGCAGCCGCGGUAAUACGUAGGUCCCGAGCGUUGUCCGGAUUUAUUGGGCGUAAAGCGGGCGCAGGCGGUUUAAUAAGUCUGAAGUUAAAGGCAGUGGCUUAACCAUUGUUCGCUUUGGAAACUGUUAAGCUUGAGUGCCGAAGGGGGGAGUGGAAAUCCAUGUGUGGCGAGGAAAUGCGUAGAUAUAUGGAGGGAAACCGGUGGCGAAAGGGGCUCUCUGGUCUGUAACUAACGCUGAGGGUCGAAAGCGUGGGGGGCAAACAGG
rnacentral:rRNA from 1 species